rnacentral:rRNA from 1 species
GAUGAACGCUGGCGGUGUGCCUAAUACAUGCAAGUCGAGCGGACGCACGAUAAGCUCGUUUUUCUGAUGUUAGCGGCGGACGGGUGAGUAACACGUGGAUAACCUACCUAUAAUACUUGGAUAACUUCGGGAAACAGGUGCUACUACCGGCUAAUAUUAUCAACGGCAUGGUUCAAAAGUUAAAGGCGGCCUUCCCGUUACUUUUAGCUGGAUCGGCGCUGCAUUAGCUAGUUGGUAAGGUAACGGCCUACCAAGGCAACGAUGCGUAGCCGACCUGAGAGGAUGAUCAGCCACACUGGAACUGAGACACGGUCCAGACUCCUACGGGAGGCAGCAGUGGGGAAUAUUGGACAAUGGGCGAAAGCCUGACGCAGCAACACCGCGUGGGUGAUGAAGGUCUUCGGGUCGUAAAGCUCUGUUAUUGGGGAAGAAAAGAAGUAUGUGAAUCUCCCGACGUCUUGACGGUACCUAAAGAAUAAGCAACGGCUAACUUCGUG